rnacentral:rRNA from 1 species
ACUCAAUAGAUACCCGGGUAGUCCACGCCCUAAACGAUGUCGACUGGUUGUUGGGGGUUUGACACUCUCAGUAAACGAAAGCUAAACGCGUGAAGUCGACCGCCUGGGGAGUACGGCCGCAAGGUUAAAACUCAAAGGAAUUGACGGGGACCCGCACAAGCGGUGGAUUAUGUGGAUUAAUUCGAUGCAACGCGAAAAACCUUACCUACCCUUGACAUGUCCGGAAGGCUUGAGAGAUCAGGCUGUGCCCGAAAGGGAACCGGAACACAGGUGCUGCAUGGCUGUCGUCAGCUCGUGUCGUGAGAUGUUGGGUUAAGUCCCGCAACGAGCGCAACCCUUGUCAUUAGUUGCUACAUUCAGUUGGGCACUCUAAUGAGACUGCCGGUGACAAACCGGAGGAAGGUGGGGAUGACGUCAAGUCCUCAUGGCCCUUAUGGGUAGGGCUUCACACGUAAUACAAUGGCGCGUACAGAGGGUUGCCAAGCCGCGAGGUGGAGCCAAUCCCUUAAAGCGCGUCGUAGUCCGGAUUGCAGUCUGCAACUCG